CAUGCAAGUCGAACGAUGAAGUUAUGACGGAGGCUUCGGCCGACUGAAUGAUGGAUUAGUGGCGGACGGGUGAGUAACGCGUGAGUAACCUGCCUUUCAGAGAGGAAUAACAUUUGGAAACGAAUGGUAAUACCACAUAACAUUACGUUCUCGCAUGGGGAUGUAAUCAAAGAUUUAUCGCUGAGAGAUGGACUCGCGUCCGAUUAGCUGGAUGGUGAGGUAACGGCCCACCAUGGCGACGAUCGGUAGCCGGACUGAGAGGUUGAACGGCCACAUUGGGACUGAGACACGGCCCAGACUCCUACGGGAGGCAGCAGUGGGGAAUAUUGCACAAUGGGGGAAACCCUGAUGCAGCAACGCCGCGUGAAGGAAGACGGUCUUCGGAUUGUAAACUUUUUUUCUUGGUGAAGAAGAAUGACGGUAGCCAAGGAGGAAGCCACGGCUAACUACGUGCCAGCAGCCGCGGUAAUACGUAGGUGGCAAGCGUUGUCCGGAAUUACUGGGUGUGAAGGGAGCGCAGGCGGGAAAUCAAGUUGGAUGUGAAAUGUCGGGGCUUAACCCCGGAACUGCAUCCAAAACUGAUAUUCUUGAGUGAAGUAGAGGUAGGCGGAAUUCCGAGUGUAGCGGUGAAAUGCGUAGAUAUUCGGAGGAACACCAGUGGCGAAGGCGGCCUACUGGGCUUUAACUGACGCUGAGGCUCGAAAGUGUGG
rnacentral:rRNA from 1 species